CCAGCAGCGCAGAGGAAGCAACAGGUGUUCCCUAUCUGCCACAAUUAGCCAGCUCAUGGACAGGUGGCGUGCAACCAGUCAAGCUUGAUUCCUGCUGCAUAAAACCAGACACGACCCAGCUCUCACUGCCGGAGCGUAAAAGAAAAGAAAGAAAGUCAUGUUCCUUCUGGACCCAUCCGGUCCUGCCGUCAGCACUGGACCCUGGACCCUCCGAUCAAAGGAAACUCUCACCUGAGCCGACUCCCCCCUUUUGGUGUCCUUCCCCACUCACCUGUUGCUGCUCCAAACCCUGACUGCCACCGCUGUGAGCCAGUUGGGAGCAUUCCCAGCAUACUUCUUGGAGCUGGGAUGCUGACAGAAUACGUACGUUUGGCACCAACAGAUCCCAUCAUACGGCAUCCACUUGAUAGACGCAGCUGGUCCACUUUGGUGCAGAAACUUCACCCUCACAUCCUGCUGCUCUUCAUCCUCUUCGGUGGUGAAACCAGCCGCCAUUUUCCGCUUUUUUUGUUUGUUUCCUGCUUCAGACGAAUACAACAACCUUUCAUAAAAGCUGAAAUAGUCUUCAAACAGUCAGUGGUGGGGAAUUAGCUGGGGGAAAAAAUACUGAUUCUAAUGUAUUCAACACUGUCUGGCACAAAUUGGGAAAAAGAGCUCUAAAAGUUGCUGGACCUGUAACACCAA